UAAUACGGAGGGUGCAAGCAUUAAUCGGAUUUAUUGGGCGUAAAGGGCGCGUAGGCGGGUUUGUAAGUCAGAUGUGAAAUUCCGGAGCUCAACUUCGGAGCUGCAUUUGAAACUACAAGUCUUGAGGAGUGGCGGAGAAAAUGGAAUUCCACGUGUAGCGGUGAAAUGCGUAGAUAUGUGGAAGAACACCAGUGGCGAAAGCGGUUUUCUAGCUUAUUCCUGACGCUGAGGCGCGAGAGCAAGGGGAGCAAACAGG
rnacentral:rRNA from 1 species